rnacentral:rRNA from 1 species
UUACCGGUUCUCGUUAGAUCACCGAAGUCAAGCAUCAUUGGGCGCGGUCAGUACUUGGGUGGGUGACCACCUGGGAACACCGCGUGCCGUU